rnacentral:SRP_RNA from 1 species
GCCGAGUUUGGUAGCGUGAGCUUGUAACCCGAGAAGGGGCAUCAAGGUGGACGAACAUUGGUCCGAUUUCGAUAGGCAGGAUCAGGCGGAGUAAUUUGCCGGCACGCCCGUUCCAAGUAGGAAGUUGAGCCAUGGGACUUUGGCGAAGGCUGAGGCCUCUUCGUUCUUAGAAAGGAGGACACCGCGUCAGGCUGGUCUCACAGAGCAGCGACUACCUCCCGCUUCUGUCGGUGGAAGGAUUACGAGUCGGUGCUCCCCUCAUCCACUCAGUGCCCAACGAGUCGAGCCCAAUCGGACGACCACCUUU